UACGUAGGGACCGAGCGUUGUCCGGAUUCAUUGGGCGUAAAGAGCUCGUAGGCGGCUGUUCAAGUCGAACGUGAAAACUCGGAGCUCAACUCCGAGCCUGCGUUCGAUACUGGACGGCUAGAGUCUGGUAGGGGGAUCUGGAAUUCCUGGUGUAGCGGUGGAAUGCGCAGAUAUCAGGAGGAACACCGGUGGCGAAGGCGGGAUCCUGGGCCAGUACUGACGCUGAGGAGCGAAAGCCAGGGGAGCAAACGGG
rnacentral:rRNA from 1 species